GACGAACGCUGGCGGCGUGCUUAACACAUGCAAGUCGAACGGUGAAGCGCCUUCCUUUUUGGUGGGUGUGGAUGAGUGGCGAACGGGUGAGUAACACGUGAGUAACCUGCCCCCUUCUUCUGGAUAACCGCAUGAAAGUGUGGCUAAUACGGGAUAUUCUGGGUCUGUCGCAUGAUGGGUCUGGGAAAGAUAUUGUUUCGGUGGGGGAUGGGCUCGCGGCCUAUCAGCUUGUUGGUGGGGUGAUGGCCUACCAAGGCGGUGACGGGUAGCCGGCCUGAGAGGGUGGACGGUCACACUGGGACUGAGACACGGCCCAGACUCCUACGGGAGGCAGCAGUGGGGAGUAUUGCACACUGGGCGCAAGCCUGAUGCAGCGACGCCGCGUGAGGGAUGGAGGCCUUCGGGUUGUGAACCUCUUUCGCCAGUGAAGCAGGCCUGCCUCGUUUGUGGGUGGGUUGACGGUAGCUGGAUAAGAAGCGCCGGCUAACUACGUG
rnacentral:rRNA from 1 species